UUGGCUGCGGUGGCCCUGCAGCGUGUGUGGCUUCGGUGUUUACAGGCCUGGAGAAGGCUGAAGUCUCCCGUCCCAGGCUGCACAGCGGUGGCGAGCAGGAGAAUAGCUGCCAUUCAUGGUGGAGUUUGCAACGGGACGUGGUGUGCUGCCUGGGGGAGCGGGGCCUUGUAUUUGUAAAAGCCCAGUCCUGGGUGGAAAUCCCCCCCUGCUGGGUUCAGAUGGGGCUGGGGAGGACUUCUCCUCCCUCACUGGGCCUGGGCACCCAUGCCAGGGCCAGCUGGCAGACAAGUGGAGCUGCUGACCGUCUGCGCUGGGUGUGCAGGCGCUAGAUACGCUGCAGCGAGUGGGGCAGGAUCUGAGACGGGAUGAGACUGCAGGCCAUGGUCAAGCAAUGAGGGUGUGGGAGGGGCGCUCAGAGGGGCUGCCUGUGCGUUCUGGGGACACCUCUGCCAAGGUGCUUCAGCUCGGGGUCUUCAUUUGCUCAUCUGAAAAGUGGGAACAAGGAUCCAGCUCGUGAUAUCUUGGAAAUUCAGUGCUAUUGUGGAUGCAGAAGGCCUGACCCAGGAAAUGCAUACUCAGUCAUGGCUCUUCCUUCUGCUCUUGCCCUUAUUGCUAAUUAUCUUAUAAAGCAAACUAACGCUGCUUUUCCAGCCCCGUGGUGGCGUGGGCUGAGCACUGUUGAAAAACUCACUUCAAAUCUCGUCCUCGAGCCUCUGAUAGGAGGAACACAGGGCAGGUGUGUCGCUGAGGGUUGGAGGACUCCACUGUGGGUGUCUGUCCUGCCAGCCACAGCUCAUGGUCAGAUCCUGCUCCAAAGAACCCGAGUUACAGCUUAGCGGGCACUGCCGACCACCCGGGAGCCGGGCCAGGACCCCCCAUGGAGUCGUGCACGUGGGUGGCUUACUGCCUUUCCCUGGUCCAAAGACAUUCUCUGACCACAGGAGCUUCCAACUGGAGUGUUGCUCUUUGCUGGGAAACCCCAGAACUGGAAACUGGGGGCUUUUCCGUGAGAAGCUGGGCUGCGAGAGACAGGAGCUUCCUCCCCUCAAGACCUAGGUUUGCCGAGUUGGCCCGAGAGCUGCACUUAAAAAUAAAUAAAUAAGGGAAGAAGG